AUCACCUGCAACUUCCUUGGAUGACGAGCUUCUACCCCAAAGUACAAACACAGAAAGCAGAGAAGAGAAAGACGCAAUGGAAGAUGAAGAAGAAGAUGAUUUUGGUGGGUUCUCUGAUAUGGCUGUAAGUGACGAUUUCUUCUCUGGUUUGGAAGAACUCGCCGAUCCGGUCACCGGAGACAGCUUCACCGAUCACUUUCCAGUGAACUUUGGCCUCCCCUGGCUAGCAAACAGUGCUGCUACGGCCGCAGGCGGUUUCUGAGAGUGGCCGGAAAAACCAUUGCCUUAAGCCUUUUUUU
rnacentral:misc_RNA from 1 species